rnacentral:lncRNA from 1 species
UUUGGAGUCAAUGAGGCCCCCGAUCUGAGUGAGGUUGCAGUUUCUCUGCGUCACAUACUCAAUGCUGGUGGACUCCAUCAGCAGCGCGUAGUCUGUGGUGGAGAUUUUUGAUUUCUGGAGGGAAAGAAAACACACUCACCAGCAGAAGAGGGCUGGAAAAAUACGACCUAAAGAUCAUCUGCCGAAUCUAUGGGGGAUUCCAUUCUCUCUACUGUCAAGAAGGCAGCCAGAUUGGCCGUGUAGGAUGAAAUGAUGAUUA